rnacentral:misc_RNA from 1 species
AACUUUUGGCAACGGAUCUCUCACGUCGCGCUGCUGACAGGAGAAUACAGAAUCGAAGUGCGAACAGUGGAUGUAGGAGCCCCUGCGGGACGAUACGAAAUAAAGAUCGAAGAGCAGCGCGCGCCUGCUGCCGGCGAUGAAACGCGAUUCUCUGCGCAAAAAGCGUUCACCGCCGGCACGCGUUUAUUCGGCGAGAAGAACUAUCGCGCCGCCAUCGAGAAAUACCAGGAGGCGCUUGCGAUGUACCGUCAGUCAGUGAGGCGGAUGGAAGAAGCGGUCACGCUCAACUGUAUCGGUCGCUCAAACUCGUCACUUUACGAUUAUCAAGUCGCAAUCGAGCGGCACAACGAGGCAAUCUCCAUUUAUCACGACUUAAGCAUAUCAAUAAGCGGAGGCU